UGAGCCUUUCUGCAGUUCCUCACAGCUGGAAUCAGUCUCAGUCGUCCCUGGUCUGAUGUGUUGUACUUCUGCAGGUCCAACUCAUCCAGAACCUCCUCUGACAUCUGCAGCAUGUAGGCCAGAGCUGAGCAGUGGAUCUCAGAGAGUUUCUUCUCUGAUCUGUUCUCUGACUUCAGGAACUCUUGGAUCUCCUGAUGGACUGAGUGGUCGUUCAUCUCCAUCAGACAGUGGAAGAUGUUGAUGCUUCUGUCAGGAGAGAUAUCAUCACUGUUCAUCUCCUUCAGGUUGUUGAUGGCUCUCUGGAUGAUUUCUGGACUGUUGUCUGUCUGACCCAGCAGGCCUCCUAAGAGUCUCUGGUUGGACUCCAGAGAGAGGCCAUGAAGGAAGCGAACAAACAGGUCCAGGUGGCCAUUUUUACUUUUGAGGGAUUUCUCCAUGGCGCUCUUCAGAAAGACAUCCAGGGA